CUAGUACUCCCUCCGUUCGGAAUUACUUGUCUCGGAAAUGGAUGUAUCUAGAACUAAAAUACAUCUAGAUACAUCCAUUUCUGCGACAAGUAAUUCCGAACGGAGGGAGUAGUAA
rnacentral:pre_miRNA from 1 species